AACACAUGCAAGUCGAACGAAGCACUCAGGAGCGACUUCGGUCAAUCCUGUUUGACUUAGUGGCGGACGGGUGAGUAACGCGUGAGGAACCUGCCUUGCAGUGGGGAAGAACAGUUGGAAACGACUGCUAAUACCGCAUAAUGCAGAGAGAUCGCAUGGUCUUUAUGCCAAAGAUUUAUCGCGGUGAGAGGGCCUCGCGUCUGAUUAGCUAGUUGGUGAGGUAACGGCUCCCCAAGGCGAGCGAUCAGUAGCCGGACUGAGAGGUUGAUCGGCCACAUUGGGACUGAGACACGGCCCAGACUCCUACGGGAGGCAGCAGUGGGGAAUAUUGGGCAAUGGGCGCAAGCCUGACCCAGCAACGCCGCGUGAAGGAAGAAGGCUUUCGGGUUGUAAACUUCUUUUAUUAGGGACGAUAAUGACGGUACCUAUUGAAUAAGCUCCGGCUAACUACGUGCCAGCAGCCGCCGUAA
rnacentral:rRNA from 1 species